rnacentral:ncRNA from 2 species
AUCUUAUCAAGAGUAGGUGGAGGGACUAGCCCGAUGAUACCCGGCAACCGGCGAAUACGCACGGUGCUAAUUCUUGCAGUCGUCUGAUCUUAUUUAUUAAGGGUACAGACGAAUUGAGAGAUGAGAG